UACGGAGGAUGCAAGCGUUAUCCGGAUUUAUUGGGCGUAAAGCGUCCGCAGGUGGUUUUCCAAGUCUGCUGUUAAAGCGCGAGGCUUAACCUCGUACAGGCAGUGGAAACUGGAUGACUAGAGUAUGGUAGGGGUAGCGGGAAUUCCCAGUGUAGCGGUGAAAUGCGUAGAUAUUGGGAAGAACACCAGCGGCGAAAGCGCGCUACCGGGCCAUUACUGACACUCAUGGACGAAAGCUAGGGGAGCGAAAGGG
rnacentral:rRNA from 1 species